UUCAAAUAUCUUAAGAGGAAAAAAAAGAAGAAAAAAAAAACCAAUUGAUUUUGGUUCUUCAUUGCUUCCAUUUCUUCUCCGUUGUUGUUUGUUUCUUCAAUUUUCUUUCGCCGGAAUUUUCUCGGAGUUCGAUCGUAACUGACUCCAAUUCGAAGCCCUAAACCCUCGGAGGAAUUAGGUUUUUAUUGCUUUCGUUUUGAUUGAAUCUCGUUCUUGAGUUGAAAAUUGAAACAGAGGAACGAGCCCUAGGUUUUGGAGUGGAGGAUGGGAGAGGAGGUGAAGAUGGCGGAAUAUGAAAGCGGCGGCGGCGGUGGUGGUGGUGAAGAUGAAAGCUGUGCUCACGAGGAGCGAGUAUUUGAAUGGGAAACGGGUUUGCCAGACGCCGACGAUCUCACUCCUCUGUCUCAGACUUUGAUUCCACCGGAGCUUGCUUCUGCAUUCAGUAUAUCAACCGGACCAUGUCGGACACUUAUGGAUGUUAAUCGAGCGUCGCAGAAUACGCUAUCGAAUCUUCGUGGAUUUCAAGCACAAGCGUUUUCAUCGAAUAAUUUCAAGUCGUUUAACGAUGAUCGAACUCAGGAUCAUGAUCCGAUGGUGGUUGAAGGAGAUGAGGCAACGGAGAGGGAUGCAGGGUCGGAUUCUAGGAAAUUAAGGAAGGUUGAUUGUGCAGAAGAGGCUGAUUCGGCUCUUCGGACGGAUAAUUCUAUGGAUGAUCCAUCAGCUCGGACUUUGAAGAGACCGAGACUUGUAUGGACGCCACAAUUACAUAAGCGAUUUGUGGACGUUGUUGCUCAUCUUGGGAUUAAGAACGCGGUUCCUAAAACUAUUAUGCAGUUAAUGAACGUGGAGGGAUUGACUCGGGAGAAUGUUGCGAGUCAUCUUCAGAAAUAUAGGCUUUACUUGAAGAGGAUGCAGGGGUCUUCCAACGAGGGGCCGUCGUCGCCGGACCGGAUUUUUGCCUCCACGCCUGUACCGCAGACCUUGCACCAGUCAACCAACAGUGGGCAAGCAAAUGGAAAUGGGCAUUUGCCAGUUCCGACUCCGAUGCCGUAUGGACCACCUAUGAUGCCAAUGCCGGUGCUUGGCAUGGCAGCGUCUGGUCAUGCUCAUAGUUAUAUGGGUAUGCCUGUAGCUCAUCCGGGAAGCGCACAGGGAUACCCUGGCUUUGAAACGCAUCCGUUCAAUAUGAUGCAUCAGAGAGAUUGGUCGGGGAACAAAUACAGCUCGAUCGUGCCUUACCCUCAUCCUCAUGUACCUCCUAAUACUAAUGAUAAGUGAAUUCCGGCUAAUUUUCAGGAAUUGGUGGAUUUCUCGAACUUAGCAACAAGUUCGGUAUCAAACACGGGAAAUGGUGAACUUAGCUUUGGAAAGCAGUAUUGUUGAGUUUCUUGGAAUUUGAAAGCUUUCUUUUUUGUUUAAGUAUGUUUAGUAAAACAAGAAUAGAGACGGCUUAUUUGUUAUUGGCUUCUGGGGACUAUUUUAAGACGCCAGGUUUCUAAUUUUGUUUUUCAAACUAUUCCCAAUAACUGUAGUUAGAUGACUUGGGUAACUGCAUUGGGUAGCAGUUUUAGGAUUAGUAAUUAAGUGUAUGAUAACAGUUUUAAAGAAUUGCUAAUAGACUCUUGUUAUUGAUAUGCUCUGUUGUCAAUAGAUUAGUGGUAGACUUCUCUAAAUUUUGUUAUAUUUACAAAUUUUUUUAUAUUAUACAGUAUUUAAUUGUCAUAUUUGUAAUUGUGCUCAAAAGGAAUAACAUAAUUUAUCUAAGAAAUGGAUAGUAGUAUGAAACUAAAUUAAAUUAAAAGGGAAAAAAACCUUAAGAGAUAGUUCACCAAAAAUAUGUAAACUGAAAUUUUGUUCUGAUAAAGCAAAAAGUCCUUUUUAUCAUAAAUAGCUUUCAAACAACGCCACGUUACUUUUUUCAGUUGAACCACUGAGUAAUUAACUUUUAUCUUCAGCUUAUAAUUACUCACUACGCUACUAGUUCUCAGAUCACUUCUUGAAAGUGAAGUUGGUUAGAUGUGCUUGUUUUGAUCUUUAUUGUGUAGUCUCCACCCUAGAACGAUCGUGCAGGUAAGGAGCACUAAUAAGCAAUCUAAGAUUUCCCUUCAGCACAGUGGAUUUAUUACCUGUUUUCUUCUUGCGGAAAUUACACUUCCACAUGCAAUUUUUGCUCAAUGAACGUUUUCUGCCACAAUGACCAUACUUCAAUUUAUGGCUUGAUAUUGUAGCCAAAAUUUGUUAAGAAAUUUAUUGUUUGUUUUCAUGCUUGCUUUCUUCUCACGUAAUGGCUACGUGGAUAUUAAUAUUUGAACUGUUAUUGUUAUUUUGUCCUAUGCAUAUUCAUAUAAUUUUCUCUUUUUUUAGUGCACGGAUCCAGUAGAACAGCGGGAGUUGAACGUUUUAGGUCAAAUCAGUCCCCUCUUUGGAUGUUAAGAAAGUUUAAGAUUAAGUUAUAUGAAUUGCGGUCAGAUUGUAAUUAUACAUGUAAAACUAAACAAUUUUGAUCUAAGAAGAUGCAAUUAAUUGUAAUCUGUUUGACCUUACACUGCAAGAGUUUUCCUUUUAUAAUCUGCUGUGCUUUUAGACCAACUGCAUCAAGUCAGUAAGCAUGUUACUUUUACGCCAUGUUUUUAACCUUGGGAGUUCUAUGACAACCUGAGUAAAAGUUAACAUCAUCCAGGUGUGAUCUAAGAUGCAUGACAAUGUAGUUACAGGAGGGAAGAGAUGGUCUAAUCUCAUCACAUUGAAAAACUUGCCCAUCACCUCUGGUGAAUUAUAGAAGUACCAAAGGGCACACCAAAUGAUCCUUAUCAGUGGAAUGGAUAUGUGUGUUGUUGAUUCUCUCCUUCUUAGGAUGACGUUGAAAGAUGUCACUCUGGAAGGAAUUUGCUUUCGACACGGUCUCUGACAUAAACAGCAGAGGACAGGACGUCCAGAUUGAUGAUACGCAACAUGUACUUAAAACAUUUCCUAUCAAUUAUAGUAUUACAUUGUCUAUCAGUAAGUCAACAAUUGCCCAUUAUUGAAUACCUUUGAGAUAUUGAAACUGUAUCUCCAAGAAGAUUGAGAUUUUCAUUUUUCAUUCUAGUUUGUGCAACUCAUUAUGCACUUGUGUCACAAGCUCUAGUGGAUGUACUCUAGUGAAGCCUCUCGGUCUCUUGACUAAUAAUGACUGAUGUGAAACUUGAUGAUUAUACAAGUUCACGGUCUCUCCACUGAAAAUCUUUUCUUCA